rfam:Sarcophilus harrisii ctg7180002444264, whole genome shotgun sequence.
AACAAUUAACCAAAAUCCCUAAGCCCUAUAUUGGACAAUUCUAUAAUUAUUUAGAAGAUAUAAUGCUAAUAUGAGUAACCUGAACAUAUUCUCCUUGCACAAGCAUAUAGAUCGGAACAACUGCUUACACUUAACCAAACAAAUAAUUAUAACCACAUACUAGCACCCUAUUACACACACUGUUAACCCAACCCAGGCAUGCAUAAAAAGAAAGAUUAAAAGGAAUAAAAGGAACUCUGCAAGCAUGAGCCCCGCCUGUUUACCAAAAACAUCACCUCUAGCAUUUACCAGUAUUAGAGGCACUGCCUGCCUGAUGAGUUGUGACUUUAACGGCCGCAAUAUCCUGACCAUACAAAGGUAGCAUAAUCACUUGUCUCUUAAUUGGGAACUAGUAUGAAUGGCACAAUGAGGGUUCAACUGUCUCUUAUUCCCAAUCAGUGAAACUGACCUUCCUGUGUAGAGGCAGGAACAUUUAUACAAGACGAGAAGAUCCUGUGGAGCUUAAAUCGCAUUACUCAACACAUACUAACAUCCAACCUAUGGGAACAAACUGUAUAGGCUACUGAGUUACAGUCUUUGGUUGGGGUGACCUCUGAGCAUAAAACAACCUCCAAAUGAAUAUAACCUAGAUUAACCAAUCUAAGUAAUUGACCCAUCUCUUUUUUUUUUUAAAAUUUAAUAGCCUUUUAUUUACAGGAUAUAUGCAUGGGUAACUUUACAGCAUUAACAAUUGCCAAACCUCUUGUUCCAAUUUUUCACCUGUUACUCCCCACCCCUCCCCCAGAUGGCAGAAUGACCAGUAGAUGUUAAAUAUAUUAAAAUAUAAAUUAGAUACACAAUAAGUAUACAUGACCAAAACGUUAUUUUGCUGUACAAAAAGAAUCAGACUCUGAAAUAUUGUACAAUUAGCUUGUGAAGGAAAUCAAAAAUGCAGGUGGGCAAAAAUAUAGGGAUUGGGAAUUCAAUGUAAUGGUUUUUAGUCAUCUCCCAAAGUUCUUUUUCUGGGCAUAGCUAGUUCAGUUCAUUACUGCUCCAUUGGAAAUGAUUUGGUUGAUCUCGUUGCUGAGGAUGGCCUGGUCCAUCAGAACUGGUCAUCAUAUAGUAUUGUUGUUGAAGUAUAUAAUGAUCUCCUGGUCCUGCUCAUUUCACUCAGCAUCAGUUCGUGUAAGUCUCUCCAGGCCUUUCUGAAAUCAUCCUGUUAAUUGACCCAUCUCUUGAUCAAUGGAACAAGUUAACCCAGGGAUAACAACUCAGUCCUAUUUGAGAGCCCAUAUUGAAAAUUAGGGUUUACGACCUUGAUGCUGGAUCAGGACACCCAAAUGGUGUAAUCGCUAUUGAAGGUUCGUUUGUUCAACGAUUAAAGUCCUACGUGAUCUGAGUUCAGACCAGAGAAAUCCAGGUCGGUUUCUAUCUGUAAAUUUAUUUCUCCCAGUACGAAAGGACAAGAGAAAUAGGGCCAACGUCCCCAAUAAGCUCUAGAACUAACAUAUGAAUCAAUCUAAAUAUACUAACUCAAUUUAUACUUCUCCCCAAGAACAGGGCUGUUAAGAAGGCAGAGUUGGUAAUUGCAUAAAGUUUAAGCCUUUACUCCCAGAGGUUCAAGUCCUCUUC